rnacentral:rRNA from 1 species
UACGGGGGGGGCAAGCGUUGUUCGGAAUUACUGGGCGUAAAGGGCUCGUAGGCGGCCAACUAAGUCGGACGUGAAAUCCCUCGGCUUAACCGGGGAACUGCGUCUGAUACUGGAUGGCUUGAAUCCGGGAGAGGGAUGCGGAAUUCCAGGUGUAGCGGUGAAAUGCGUAGAUAUCUGGAGGAACACCGGUUGCGAAGGCGGCCACCUGGACCGGCACUGACGCUGAGGUGCGAAAGCGUGGGGAGCAAACAGG